AAAAAAAAAAAACUUUGGUUUGGUUAGAAAACAAAGGGCUUUCUUCAAAAUUCUUAGGGCAAUCCGGUUUUGGAGAAUGAUGGUGUAGAAGCUUGGAGUGAAGAGGUGGUUUGAGCAAGGAUUCAAGUGGAAAGGAAAACGAACAAGGGAAACGAAGAGGGUUAAACUCAGAUUUUGCUAAGCAACUCAGGAAAAGGUAAGAACAAAGCAGAACAGUAAACAGGGGAGCUGGCUUCGUUGACCGCUGUACAUAUGAUUGGACCAAAGAAGCUAUACACAGAUUGUUUUGGAUUUGUAAACAUAUAUAUUUUGGAGUUAAACACAUAAACUUUGGAUGACUGUAUAAUUUUAAUUGUGGCUAGAAAACUUGAUAGGAAUGGUGUA